rnacentral:misc_RNA from 1 species
AAAGUGCGAUAUGUACUGCGCUGUGCGCUAAAUGCGCAGUCAUUCUUCGAAUACACAUUGUCCUGUCUGGCGAACAGUCGGCAGGGCAUCUGCUUCAGGGUUGUUGAUCAGUUUUUCGCCGCUUAGGUGGUGUCAUUCAGGGGGUGUCGCCGUUCGAGCGUCCCCCCGUCUUUGUGUCCUCGAUGCUCUUGCUUCUGUGGACUUGGGUGUGCAGUCCGGUUCAGUGCUUGCAUUGCUCCUUGCACCCCUCUAUUUUGUGACCCGACCUGAAGUCAGGUGUGACUACCCGCUGAACUUAA